UACGGAGGGUGCAAGCGUUAUCCGGAUUCACUGGGUUUAAAGGGUGCGUAGGUGGCUAUAUAAGUCAGUGGUGAAAGCCCGCGGCUCAACCGUGGAAUUGCCAUUGAAACUGCAUAGCUUGAGUACAGUUGAAGUGGGCGGAGUACAUCAUGUAGCGGUGAAAUGCUUAGAUAUGAUGUAGAACACCGAUUGCGAAGGCAGCUCACUAAGCUGUAACUGACACUGAGGCACGAAAGCGUGGGUAGCGAACAGG
rnacentral:rRNA from 1 species